rnacentral:rRNA from 1 species
UACGAAGGGGGCUAGCGUUGCUCGGAAUCACUGGGCGUAAAGCGCACGUAGGCGGCUUUCUAAGUCAGGGGUGAAAUCCUGGAGCUCAACUCCAGAACUGCCUUUGAUACUGGAGAGCUUGAGUCCGGGAGAGGUGAGUGGAACUCCGAGUGUAGAGGUGGAAAUUCGUAGAUAUUCGGAAGAACACCAGUGGCGAAGGCGGCUCACUGGCCCGGUACGUGACGCUGAGGUGCGAAAGCGUGGGGAGCAAACAGGGAUUAAGAA